AGAUACAGUAUCUGAAUUGGUAAGUACAACCAAAGUAGUCAAAGAAGCUUUACUGAACCCCAAGUAAGUUUAUUAGCUUUACUGAACCCCAACUAAGUAAUUAGAAACCAGCUUUCAGUAACGAGCGAACAUAGCAAUGGCACAAAGAACCUGUAAAUAACCAAACCCCACAAAAAUCUUGAAGAUAAACAGCAAAUUUGCCUACUUUCUUGAUUUUCAGAGGAAAAAAGAAGUUGGAUUUAG
rnacentral:misc_RNA from 1 species